rnacentral:rRNA from 1 species
AGACCCGAAACCCGGUGAUCUAGCCAUGGGCAGGUUGAAGGUUGGGUAACACUAACUGGAGGACCGAACCGACUAAUGUUGAAAAAUUAGCGGAUGACCUGUGGCUGGGGGUGAAAGGCCAAUCAAACCGGGAGAUAGCUGGUUCUCCCCGAAAGCUAUUUAGGUAGCGCCUCGUGAAUUCAUCUCCGGGGGUAGAGCACUGUUUCGGCUAGGGGGCCAUCCCGGCUUACCAACCCGAUGCAAACUGCGAAUACCGGAGAAUGUUAUCACGGGAGACACACGGCGGGUGCUAACGUCCGUCGUGAAGAGGGAAACAACCCAGACCGCCAGCUAAGGUCCCAAAGUCAUGGUUAAGUGGGAAACGAUGUGGGAAGGCCCAGACAGCCAGGAUGUUGGCUUAGAAGCAGCCAUCAUUUAAAGAAAGCGUAAUAGCUCACUGGUCGAGUCGGCCUGCGCGGAAGAUGUAACGGGGCUAAACCAUGCACCGAAGCUGCGGCAGCGACACUGUGUGUUGUUGGGUAGGGGAGCGUUCUGUAAGCCUGUGAAGGUGUGUCGUGAGGCAUGCUGGAGGUAUCAGAAGUGCGAAUGCUGACAUAAGUAACGAUAAAGCGGGUGAAAAGCCCGCUCGCCGGAAGACCAAGGGUUCCUGUCCAACGUUAAUCGGGGCAGGGUGAGUCGACCCCUAAGGCGAGGCCGAAAGGCGUAGUCGAUGGGAAACGGGUUAAUAUUCCCGUACUUGGUGUUACUGCGAAGGGGGGACGGAGAAGGCUAUGUUGGCCGGGCGACGGUUGUCCCGGUUUAAGCGUGUAGGUGUGUGUUCCAGGU